rnacentral:rRNA from 1 species
AACGCUGGCGGCGUGCCUAAUACAUGCAAGUAGAACGCUGAAGACUUUAGCUUGCUAAAGUUGGAAGAGCUGCGAACGGGUGAGUAACGCGUAGGUAACCUGCCUACUAGCGGGGGAUAACUAUUGGAAACGAUAGCUAAUACCGCAUAACAGCAUUUAACACAUGUUAGAUGCUUGAAAGGAGCAAUUGCUUCACUAGUAGAUGGACCUGCGUUGUAUUAGCUAGUUGGUGAGGUAACGGCUCACCAAGGCGACGAUACAUAGCCGACCUGAGAGGGUGAUCGGCCACACUGGGACUGAGACACGGCCCAGACUCCUACGGGAGGCAGCAGUAGGGAAUCUUCGGCAUUGGGGGCAACCCUGACCGAGCAACGCCGCGUGAGUGAAGAAGGUUUUCGGAUCGUAAAGCUCUGUUGUAAGAGAAGAACGUGUGUGAGAGUGGAAAGUUCACACAGUGACGGUAACUUACCAGAAAGGGACGGCUAACUACGUGCCAGCCGCAGC